rnacentral:rRNA from 1 species
GAUGAACGCUAGCGGGAGGCCUAACACAUGCAAGCCGAGCGGUAUUGUUUCUUCGGAAAUGAGAGAGCGGCGUACGGGUGCGGAACACGUGUGCAACCUGCCUUUAUCUGGGGGAUAGCCUUUCGAAAGGAAGAUUAAUACUCCAUAAUAUAUUGAACGGCAUCGUUUAAUAUUGAAAGCUCCGGCGGAUAGAGAUGGGCACGCGCAAGAUUAGCUAGUUGGUGAGGUAACGGCUCACCAAGGCGAUGAUCUUUAGGGGGCCUGAGAGGGUGAUCCCCCACACUGGUACUGAGACACGGACCAGACUCCUACGGGAGGCAGCAGUGAGGAAUAUUGGUCAAUGGGUGCAAGCCUGAACCAGCCAUCCCGCGUGAAGGACGACUGCCCUAUGGGUUGUAAACUUCUUUUGUAUAGGGAUAAACCUACCCUCGUGAGGGUAGCUGAAGGUACUAUACGAAUAAGCACCGGCUAACUCCGUGCCAGCAGCCGCGGUAAUACGGAGGGUGCAAGCGUUAUCCGGAUUUAUUGGGUUUAAAGGGUCCGUAGGCGGACUUAUAAGUCAGUGGUGAAAGCCUGUCGCUUAACGAUAGAACUGCCAUUGAUACUGUAAGUCUUGAGUAUAUUUGAGGUAGCUGGAAUAAGUAGUGUAGCGGUGAAAUGCAUAGAUAUUACUUAGAACACCAAUUGCGAAGGCAGGUUACCAAGAUAUAACUGACGCUGAGGGACGAAAGCGUGGGGAGCGAACAGGAUUAGAUACCCUGGUAGUCCACGCCGUAAACGAUGCUAACUCGUUUUUGGGCUUUAGGGUUCAGAGACCAAGCGAAAGUGAUAAGUUAGCCACCUGGGGAGUACGCUCGCAAGAGUGAAACCCAAAGGAAUUGACGGGGGCCCGCACAAGCGGUGGAUUAUGUGGUUUAAUUCGAUGAUACGCGAGGAACCUUACCAAGACUUAAAUGGGAAUUGACAGCUUUAGAAAUAGAGCUUUCUUCGGACAAUUUUCAAGGUGCUGCAUGGUUGUCGUCAGCUCGUGCCGUGAGGUGUUAGGUUAAGUCCUGCAACGAGCGCAACCCCUGUCACUAGUUGCCAUCAUUCAGUUGGGGACUCUAGUGAGACUGCCUACGCAAGUAGAGAGGAAGGUGGGGAUGACGUCAAAUCAUCACGGCCCUUACGUCUUGGGCCACACACGUAAUACAAUGGCCGGUACAGAGGGCAGCUACACAGCGAUGUGAUGCAAAUCUCGAAAGCCGGUCUCAGUUCGGAUUGGAGUCUGCAACUCGACUCUAUGAAGCUGGAAUCGCUAGUAAUCGCGCAUCAGCCAUGGCGCGGUGAAUACGUUCCCGGGCCU